rnacentral:rRNA from 1 species
GAUGAACGCUAGCGGCAGGCUUAACACCUGCAAGUCGAGGGGUAUAGUAGCAAUACUAGAGACCGGCGCACGGGUGCGUAACGCGUAUGCAACCUACCUUUUACAGAGGGAUAGCCCAGAGAAAUUUGGAUUAAUACCUCAUAGUGUUAUUAGAUGGCAUCAUUUGAUAACUAAAGUUCCAACGGUAAAGAUGGGCAUGCGUCCUAUUAGCUAGAUGGUAAGGUAACGGCUUACCAUGGCUACGAUAGGUAGGGGUCCUGAGAGGGAGAUCCCCCACACUGGUACUGAGACACGGACCAGACUCCUACGGGAGCAGCAGUGAGGAAUAUUGGGACAAUGGGCGC